UCCGACUUAGCUCAGUUGGUAGAGCACCUGACUGUUAAUCAGGUUGUCGCCGGUUCGAGCCCGGCAGUCGGAG
rfam:Leuconostoc mesenteroides subsp. mesenteroides ATCC 8293, complete genome.